rnacentral:lncRNA from 1 species
AGUGCUUAUUCCAUUAAAAGACAAAAGUCUGUAAUGGAAGAAGUUUAAAAUUUUGUUUAAAUUUUUUUUUUAAUGUUAUAACCUCAGUUGGAUCACUGUGGCGAGGCGUAGGAACGUUUUCAAGGCUUCGGCUACAUAAUCGCAAAGCGGGUUUUCAAACGGUUCAUCGACACUACUACCAACAAUGUAAGCGCCUCUAUUUGCUUUAUGUUACGAUAUACGAUAGGGCCACUCUCUCUGAUCACUUUUUUCAGUUUUUGACAAUCUCACCUAUUUUCUCUGUCAAGUUCUCCAGCUGCCCCAUUUUAUAUCGCCACCUCCGCCACAAACGAAGUUCUCCGAGGAGCCGCGGAGCGGCGCGAGGGCGGGCGCCUCACGCCUCCACAACUGCUGUCUCGCGCCCUCGCCCCGGGCGCCAGUGCUCCACCCAGCUCUCGCGGGAGGAGACGAGGUUUUGAACGAAAAUUCCGAACCCCCGCACGACCUCCCAACGGUCACGUGACUGGCGCCUGCCUCCUAGACCCAAGGUCUUUCCUAGUCGCCUACUGGCUGUUAAC